GACGACUCUUUUUCAUAAUAACCAUUUAAAUAACUCUCAAUAUAAUGAUAUACUAUAUCCAUUCUUUAUAGCGAAAUUGACCUCCCAUUUGUUUAUGUAAUUGCACCUGAAAAGCGUACAAGUCGGUGACCUUUUUAAUUAUGCGCUUACUUGUUUACAUUUAAAUUAAAUUGGAAAGUUUAAGCAAAUUAUGGGAGAUCGUUUUGUAACCUUUUUUCUAGCUAGGCAUGGGAGUUAAAGGGUUAGGGGUUGGGAGUCUAUAGGUUGCGUUUCUGGGAAGGAAAUUUUGGGUUUCAGGUUUGCCUCGACGACAGCUCGGCGACGGGAACCGGUAACUCCGGUCAAGGUGCUCGGCGUCGAAGCGUAACCGCAAAGAAGUCUCCUUUGUUACCGCCGGAGCUAUUCGUCUUUCCUUGUGUUUCCAUCCACCGUAGCAGCUCAGAUCUCUUUUUCCGGUCAUCGACGUCGGUUUUUCUCACCGUUUUGCAGUCGUGUUUGUUUCUCGAUGUAAUUACUUGCUCUGCCCAGUUUGGGAUUUUUAUAAAAUAUAUAUUUAAAAAAAAAAUAUAUAUAUAUAUAUAUAUAUAUAUAUAUAUAUAUAUAUGGGAGAAUUUAUUGUAUGUUUCGAUACUUUUAUUUGUCUUACAUGUCCAAAAGUCACCAUCAUAUACAUAACAUCAGCUGAUCACAAAACUAUAAACAAAUUUAUACAAAGCAGCAAGGGUUAAGACCUUAAGUUUUUAUGGUUUAAUUUUUUUUGGUAAACUAGAAACAAAAAGAGCCAUCUGCAGGCAACGAGUCGUAAAGGUUCGAGAAUGUUUGGACCGGACGCCACGUCACGGAUGGUGUCUUUGACUUUUUCCCAAUGGACGGCUUCUUAAAUACUGUUUAAGUGUUUAUUACUAGUAUCUUAUUUAUUUAGGGAAUUUAAUUCGGUUAUUAGUAUUAGUUUACUACUAGAUUUUCACCCGCGGUACACCGCGGGACUAUAAAUUUUUUAAAAGUUAUCUAUUGUUUUGUUUGAUUUAAAUGUACUUAUAUAUAUAUAUAUAUAUAUAUAUAUUACCCCGCAUUAAACCCGUUGGUCGAUUUUUGAUAACUAAAAAUUAAAAUUUUAAGUUAAAUUUAUUUUGUUAAUAUUGUUUGUUUUGUUUAGCAUUAAUUGUAUUUUGAUAGUUAAUUCUACGAUUUCACUAGUAGUACCGCCCCGUCCUACCAUAUAAUCAUGUCCCGUGAAAUUAAACAUUAUUUUGUUAUUGUUUUUUAUAAUAUUUUAAUUUAUAAAACAUAUAUAAUUUUAGUCAAUUUCAAAAUUUUCUUUAAAUGGCUCCCAUAAUAUAUAUAUUCUUAAUUUUUAUAGAGUUCAAAUAUCAUUAAUAUAAUAAAAUUUUUAUAAAAUUUAAAUAUUAUAAAUACUUUAAACGUUCUAAGAUUUCACUCGUAGUAUAUCGUUCCGUAUUAAUAUCGACACAAACCUGUCACACCAUAUAAUCCCGUCCCGUGAAAUUAAACAUCAUGUUAUUUUUCUUUUUAAUAAUAAUUUUAUUUAGAAGACAUAUAAUUCGAGUCAAUUUAAAAUUUUGCUUUUAAAUUGUCUCCAUAGUAUAUAUAUUUAUAAUUUUUAUAGAGCUCAAAUGUUAUUAAUAUAUAAAAUAUUUUAUAGAAUUGAAAUAUUAUAGAUACUUUAAAAGUUUUAUAAAAUUUAAAUAUUUAUAAUAUUUAAAUUUCUUAUAAGUUUAAAAUUAAUAAUAUUUAAAAUUCUUAUAAAGUUAAAAUAUUCAUAAUAUUUGAAACCUUAUGAAAUAAUAAUAAUCUAAAAUAACAUAUUAUUCCAUAGACAUAAAUAGUAUUUAUAUAUUUGGUAAUAAUGUUUUUUUGGAGUUAAUCUAAUUUAUAACUAAACAAAUUAUUUAUAGCCAAAAUGAGUUUGGUUUAUAAUAAGUAAUAUAGCAAAAUGAGUUUGUCAAAUAACGAAUAGUAACCAUAAUUUAAUUAAUGUACAUUAAAAUAAAUAUAUUUAAAAAAUGAAUUACUUAAAAAAAUUGGUUUGUCAAAAUUAAUUAAUAUCUUUACGAUAUUAUGGAAAAGAUUAGUUAUGGUUAAAAUAUUAUGUUAAAAAAUUUUUGGUAAUUAAUAUCUUUGAUUUAAAUUUUUGAAAUUAAAUAAUUAAUGCCAGUGGCAUUGCUUCGUAAAUACUUUCAAACUCCAGGAUUUAUUUGCUAAGUGUAUUCCAAAAAUGUAUAUACAGAUAAUCUAAGUUUGAGUUGGGUUGGAUCGGCACUUUUUUGGAAAGUCACCGCAAGCAAUAGACUUUUUCUUCUCCUAAAUAAUCUUUACUAAAUUAUGAAAAAUCAGUGCUAAUUAAAACUUGUUUUUAUAUUUAUUGCGGAUAAAACAAGAGAAUAGAUCAGAUAGUUGAAGAAGAAGCCUAACGAAACGAAGAUGAGUCUUUCUUACAUUGGGGUUAAAGGCAGAGAGAGAGAGGUGUAAUAGGAGCAACUCUUUUAUUCGCUCACUUUGCUACCUGCUGGAGAAAUGGAGAUAAAUCCAUUAUCACCACUAAGCUCAAUUAACUAACAGCAAUAAAGUUAGUUAUCACAAAUGUGUAUGUAUGUAUAUUGAUCUUUAUUUCACCUUUAGUUAUCUGUGUUGUUCUUAGUAUUCCUUUGGAUGGAUUAUUAGUAAUUACAAUUUUACAAA
rnacentral:lncRNA from 1 species